rnacentral:rRNA from 1 species
GCGGCAGGCCUAACACAUGCAAGUCGAGCGCGCUCUUCGGAGUGAGCGGCGGACGGGUUAGUAACGCGUGGGAAUAUACCCAGAUCUAAGGAAUAGCCUCUGGAAACGGAGAGUAAUACCUUAUACGCCCUUCGGGGGAAAGAUUUAUCGGAUUUGGAUUAGCCCGCGUUAGAUUAGAUAGUUGGUGGGGUAAUGGCCUACCAAGUCUACGAUCUAUAGCUGGUUUUAGAGGAUGAUCAGCAACACUGGGACUGAGACACGGCCCAGACUCCUACGGGAGGCAGCAGUGGGGAAUCUUGGACAAUGGGCGCAAGCCUGAUCCAGCCAUGCCGCGUGAGUGAUGAAGGCCUUAGGGUCGUAAAGCUCUUUCGCCAGGGAUGAUAAUGACAGUACCUGGUAAAGAAACCCCGGCUAACUCCGUGCCAGCAGCCGCGGUAAUACGGAGGGGGUUAGCGUUGUUCGGAAUUACUGGGCGUAAAGCGCGCGUAGGCGGGUUGUUAAGUUAGAGGUGAAAUCCCGGGGCUCAACCCCGGAACUGCCUUUAAUACUGGCAACCUAGAGUUCGAGAGAGGUGAGUGGAAUUCCGAGUGUAGAGGUGAAAUUCGUAGAUAUUCGGAGGAACACCAGUGGCGAAGGCGGCUCACUGGCUCGAUACUGACGCUGAGGUGCGAAAGUGUGGGGAGCAAACAGGAUUAGAUACCCUGGUAGUCCACACCGUAAACGAUGAAUGCCAGUCGUCGGGUAGCAUGCUAUUCGGUGACACACCUAACGGAUUAAGCAUUCCGCCUGGGGGAGUACGGUCGCAAGAUUNA